rnacentral:rRNA from 1 species
AACGAACGCUGGCGGCAGGCCUAACACAUGCAAGUCGAACGCCGUAGCGAUACGGAGUGGCAGACGGGUGAGUAACGCGUGGGAACAUACCCCUCGGUUCGGAAUAACUCAGGGAAACUUGAGCUAAUACCGGAUAAGUCCGAGGUUUUAAUCGACCUUGGAGAAAGAUUUAUCGCCGGAGGAUUGGCCCGCGUCUGAUUAGCUUGUUGGUGAGGUAAUGGCUCACCAAGGCGACGAUCAGAGCUGGUCUGAGAGGAUGAUCAGCCACAUUGGGACUGAGACACGGCCCAAACUCCUACGGGAGGCAGCAGUGGGGAAUAUUGGACAAUGGGCGAAAGCCUGAUCCAGCCAUGCCGCGUGAGUGAUGAAGGCCUUAGGGUUGUAAAGCUCUUUUACCCGGGAAGAUAAUGACGGUACCGGGAGAAUAAGCCCCGCUAACUUCGUGCCAGCCGCCGCCGUAAC